rnacentral:rRNA from 1 species
UUAAGCGACUAAGCGUACACGGUGGAUGCCCUGGCAGUCAGAGGCGAUGAAGGACGUGCUAAUCUGCGAUAAGCGCCGGUAAGGUGAUAUGAACCGUUAUAACCGGCGAUUUCCGAAUGGGGAAACCCAGUGUGACUCGUCACACUAUCAUUAACUGAAUCCAUAGGUUAAUGAGGCGAACCGGGGGAACUGAAACAUCUAAGUACCCCGAGGAAAAGAAAUCAACCGAGAUUCCCCCAGUAGCGGCGAGCGAACGGGGAGGAGCCCAGAGCCUGAAUCAGCAUGUGUGUUAGUGGAAGCGUCUGGAAAGGCGCGCGAUACAGGGUGACAGCCCCGUACACAAAAGCGCAUGUGCUGUGAGCUCGAUGAGUAGGGCGGGACACGUGGUAUCCUGUCUGAAUAUGGGGGGACCAUCCUCCAAGGCUAAAUACUCCUGACUGACCGAUAGUGAACCAGUACCGUGAGGGAAAGGCGAAAAGAACCCCGGCGAGGGGAGUGAAAAAGAACCUGAAACCGUGUACGUACAAGCAGUGGGAGCACAGGUUUACCUGUGUGACUGCGUACCUUUUGUAUAAUGGGUCAGCGACUUAUAUUCUGUAGCAAGGUUAACCGAAUAGGGGAGCCGGAGGGAAACCGAGUCUUAAUUGGGCGUUAAGUUGCAGGGUAUAGACCCGAAACCCGGUGAUCUAGCCAUGGGCAGGUUGAAGGUUGGGUAACACUAACUGGAGGACCGAACCGACUAAUGUUGAAAAAUUAGCGGAUGACCUGUGGCUGGGGGUGAAAGGCCAAUCAAACCGGGAGAUAGCUGGUUCUCCCCGAAAGCUAUUUAGGUAGCGCCUCGUGAAUUCAUCUCCGGGGGUAGAGCACUGUUUCGGCUAGGGGGCCAUCCCGGCUUACCAACCCGAUGCAAACUGCGAAUACCGGAGAAUGUUAUCACGGGAGACACACGGCGGGUGCUAACGUCCGUCGUGAAGAGGGAAACAACCCAGACCGCCAGCUAAGGUCCCAAAGUCAUGGUUAAGUGGGAAACGAUGUGGGAAGGCCCAGACAGCCAGGAUGUUGGCUUAGAAGCAGCCAUCAUUUAAAGAAAGCGUAAUAGCUCACUGGUCGAGUCGGCCUGCGCGGAAGAUGUAACGGGGCUAAACCAUGCACCGAAGCUGCGGCAGCGACGCUGAUGCGUUGUUGGGUAGGGGAGCGUUCUGUAAGCCUGUGAAGGUGGCCUGUGAGGGUUGCUGGAGGUAUCAGAAGUGCGAAUGCUGACAUAAGUAACGAUAAAGCGGGUGAAAAGCCCGCUCGCCGGAAGACCAAGGGUUCCUGUCCAACGUUAAUCGGGGCAGGGUGAGUCGACCCCUAAGGCGAGGCCGAAAGGCGUAGUCGAUGGGAAACGGGUUAAUAUUCCCGUACUUGGUGUUACUGCGAAGGGGGGACGGAGAAGGCUAUGUUGGCCGGGCGACGGUUGUCCCGGUUUAAGCGUGUAGGUGUGUGUUCCAGGUAAAUCCGGUUCACUUUAACACUGAGGCGUGAUGACGAGGCACUACGGUGCUGAAGCAACAAAUGCCCUGCUUCCAGGAAAAGCCUCUAAGCAUCAGGUAACAUCAAAUCGUACCCCAAACCGACACAGGUGGUCAGGUAGAGAAUACCAAGGCGCUUGAGAGAACUCGGGUGAAGGAACUAGGCAAAAUGGUGCCGUAACUUCGGGAGAAGGCACGCUGACACGUAGGUGAAGUGAUUUACUCAUGGAGCUGAAGUCAGUCGAAGAUACCAGCUGGCUGCAACUGUUUAUUAAAAACACAGCACUGUGCAAACACGAAAGUGGACGUAUACGGUGUGACGCCUGCCCGGUGCCGGAAGGUUAAUUGAUGGGGUCAGCGCAAGCGAAGCUCCUGAUCGAAGCCCCGGUAAACGGCGGCCGUAACUAUAACGGUCCUAAGGUAGCGAAAUUCCUUGUCGGGUAAGUUCCGACCUGCACGAAUGGCGUAAUGAUGGCCAGGCUGUCUCCACCCGAGACUCAGUGAAAUUGAACUCGCUGUGAAGAUGCAGUGUACCCGCGGCAAGACGGAAAGACCCCGUGAACCUUUACUAUAGCUUGACACUGAACAUUGAGCCUUGAUGUGUAGGAUAGGUGGGAGGCUUUGAAGUGUGGACGCCAGUCUGCAUGGAGCCGGCCUUGAAAUACCACCCUUUAAUGUUUGAUGUUCUAACGUGGACCCGUGAUCCGGGUUGCGGACAGUGUCUGGUGGGUAGUUUGACUGGGGCGGUCUCCUCCUAAAGAGUAACGGAGGAGCACGAAGGUUGGCUAAUCCUGGUCGGACAUCAGGAGGUUAGUGCAAUGGCAUAAGCCAGCUUGACUGCGAGCGUGACGGCGCGAGCAGGUGCGAAAGCAGGUCAUAGUGAUCCGGUGGUUCUGAAUGGAAGGGCCAUCGCUCAACGGAUAAAAGGUACUCCGGGGAUAACAGGCUGAUACCGCCCAAGAGUUCAUAUCGACGGCGGUGUUUGGCACCUCGAUGUCGGCUCAUCACAUCCUGGGGCUGAAGUAGGUCCCAAGGGUAUGGCUGUUCGCCAUUUAAAGUGGUACGCGAGCUGGGUUUAGAACGUCGUGAGACAGUUCGGUCCCUAUCUGCCGUGGGCGCUGGAGAACUGAGGGGGGCUGCUCCUAGUACGAGAGGACCGGAGUGGACGCAUCACUGGUGUUCGGGUUGUCAUGCCAAUGGCACUGCCCGGUAGCUAAAUGCGGAAGAGAUAAGUGCUGAAAGCAUCUAAGCACGAAACUUGCCCCGAGAUGAGUUCUCCCUGAGACUUAGAGUCUCCUGAAGGAACGUUGAAGACGACGACGUUGAUAGGCCGGGUGUGUAAGCGCAGCGAUGCGUUGAGCUAACCGGUACUAAUGAACCGUGAGGCUUAACCUU